rnacentral:lncRNA from 1 species
UUUUGUGGGAGUUAUGGAAGAGGAGAAUAUGAUCAAACAUGGUGGAAGAAUGACUUUCAAUAGGUUAUUUUAUCAAUUUUUGUUUUACUCUAUUGAACCUGUUGCAUGUCAGAAUUCCAGGGAUACGUCGAGUGCCAACAAGUUGGAUAGGUUUAUUGUGUUUCUAAUGGUAUUCUACAGGUUUUUCUGGAAACUAAUUCCCUACUAUUGAAGAAAAUCUUGGAAAGGGCUGGGAAAUUCCAUGGAGUAUUUAUUCUCGCUGUGGAAUUUAUUUUCCAACUUUUAAGAGUCAUGCCAGGUUCAUAUUUCACACACACACAUAUAUAUAUAUAUAUAUAUAUAUAUAUAGGGAAGGGAAUGCAUUAGCUGACCAUUUUGCAAAUCAGGCAUUUCAUAUGGCGGGUAAGCUGGUAUAUAGCUCGUUUGGAGACCUACAUUUACAUGGAAAAAGACUUCUUAAUCUUGACAAGCAACAAUGUUCGACACUCAUGAUCAAGACAAGAUGAAUAAACAGAUGCGACUGAAGAAUUUGCACGUGCAGAUGAGUAGUAGAGUGAUACUUCUUUUCAAUUUAAUAUAUUGGUAUGGUGCUAUAUUCUCAGAACGGUAGCUAUGUCCAGACAUGGUGAUAGACGUACACUUGACAUGCUCAACCACUUAGUUCAUAGAUUCACAUUGAGUAAUGUCAGAUUAGAUCCUAAGCUGGUUCAAGGUUAUUUGAAUUUUGCAAGUUCCUAGUUUAUUCAUGAUGUAAAAGAAAUUAUUUGGCAUUGUUAUUAAUAAAAUUAGCCACUACGUACCUGCCUAGUGGGAUAUUCGAUAAAAAAAAUGAUGGAAAAACACUGUUAGAUCUCAUAGACUUAGAAAAGGAGACACUUUUGCUAUUUGGACUAUCAUAAGUUUCAAUAAAAAGCCUUAGUGCUGGAUUUUAAAAACAGUUAUCCUUUAUUAUAAAAAAUGCAAUUUUUGUGUAAUUUUAGCUGUUUUAUAUGAGACAUGCUAUGUUUUAUUAUCUUUUUACAGAUUUCCCUGAAAUCUCACUAGUUGAAUAAUGAUUGAGAGAUUGACUGAAGGGGUAACUUCACAGCUGUGGCCUAGUAAUAAGAAUUUUUGCCGAUUCCUUUAGCUCAGCAUUGCUCUAAAUACAGUGAUAAUGAUGAUUAUGAAGUGUUUUUUUGGGUAAAAUUCAUAGUUCAGUGGAUGUUGUGAAUAUAAUUUUUAUGAUCUCCUUUGCCUUGUAUAUUGCAGGUAUGGUGGAAUCUAUGUUGACUCUGACAUCAUAGUGUUAAACAUUGUCCUCACUUAAUAAUACUGUUGCAUUUGAGAAUGACCUACGUGGAACUCUGAAUGGUGCUGUAAUGGCAUUUAGAAAGCACAGGUAAUUAUUUCUAUGCCUGUUCUCCUCUUCUCUCACUCAAUAUAAAAUCUCAUUUAAGACUUUCAUAUAUCAUCAAAACUACAUAUAUUAAGAAACAAUUUACUUCGUACAAUCCAAGAUUCAGAAGAUUUAAGUACUUGUGCAAAAUUGAAAGCUUAAUACAUCUGAAAUAUGUAUGUAAUCAACCAACAAUCGUACAUGAGCGGAUGGUUUGUUUCCACCUAGUGACAAUUACUGACAAAUUGAAGCCUUAUUUUUCUAAGUGUUGAAAGAGCAUCUUCCAUGCUAUUUCUUGCAUCAGGUUUCGCUAAAGUGCAACUCAAGGCUAAUUCCAUGAUAGAUACCAUACACUGCAUCUUUGUGUCGGUUUUUUCAUUCCCUGCCCGUACCAAAUUAGCAUCUACCACCUUAUGAAUUUCACUUGGAAAAGAAUUACUAACCCCAACAUCGUAUGCUCAAGUCUCCGGUAAAUGCUUCAUCACUUGGUCUCAUUCUUGUAAGCGUCUCCAUCAUCAUAAUGCCAAAACUAUAAACAUCGCAGCUCAUGGAUGCUAUUCCAUCUUGUCCAUACUCUGCAAUCAUGGUCGAAUAUGAUAAGAAAAGCUUCCUAGUUAUGGAGGAAUAUGCUAAAACUUUGAGUAUCAAACUAUUUCCCGGAGGAAAGAACUAUUUUGGGUAUUCUAAGGAUAUGAAGAAACUUUAAAAAGUUGUAUUACCCGGAGCAAUGUAUCCAAUGGUUGCAAUAGUCCUUGUUUGGACAGAAUUCUCCUUUGCACCUAGCAAUUUGGCAAUGCCAAAAUCACUGACAUGGCCAAUCAUGUCUUGAUCUAGCAAGACAUUGCUUGGCUUCAAGUCACAAUGCACCACAGGUGUUGAAUACCCAUUGUGGAGAUAGUCUAAUGCUGCAGCCACAUCUAUCAUUAUAUUCAAUCGCUGUAAUAAGUCCAAGAAUAAGUUGUGAGAGUAUAACCAUUUAUCAAGUGUCCCAUUGGGCAUGUAUUCCAAAAUUAGGGCUUUGAAAUCAAGGUUGGAGCAGCUGGUGAUGACUUUGGCCAGAUUUCUGUGGCGAAGGUUCCGAAGCAUCUCACAUUCUGUGUCAAAACUUUUGAAUGCACCCUCCAAUUGCACUUUGAAUACCUUUGCUGCCAAAAGAGUACCAUCCUUUAGUGUCCCUUUGUAGACCAUGCUGAAACUCCCAUUACCAAGCAAGUUGCUUUCAUCGAAUCCUUCGGUUGCUUGUUCAAGUUCAUAAUAGGAAAUUCUUUCAUGUCCUUUUAAAUUCACCAGAGGCGAAUCUGCUUGACUUGCAUUCUUCUUCAUCUUUCGCAACCUCAAAAAUACAUAAAAGAGGGCUAAUGCAAUAGAUACUAGACCCACUCCCAAAACGAUAGACAAAACCAAAAUUUUCUUUUUCCUCCUGGGAGAUUUGGUGACGCAUGGUGGCACGUGAAAUUUAGACUCACCGCAAAGUGCAUCAUUGGCCAAGAAAGAUUGACUUUUGGCAUUUGCGAAAGGACCACCGCUGGGAAUUUCUCCACUAAGUUUGUUGAACGAGAAGUUCAGGUACUUGAGAUACACAAGAGCUUCUAAUGACUUUGGAAUUUCACCAGUAAGAUUGUUAUAGCACAAGUCCAAAAAUUCCAAGGCGAACAUUUUUCCAAAUGAAUUUGGAAUAGGCCCAUCUAAUCUAUUAUAUGCUAGAGAAAGUUUGAUCAAUCUAUCCAGACCCACUAGAGUGUUAGGGAUCUCACCAGAAAAAUUAUUUUUGGAUAGAUCAAUGAGUGUUGCAGCCUUUAUAUUUCCAAACUCCAGAGGAAUUUUCCCACUUAAUAAAUUGGAUGUAACGUUGAGUUCUACGAGAUCUUGUAGGCUUCCUAAACUUGCAGGUAAUUUUGAAUUCAGCCUGUUAUAAGCUAGAUAAAGAUUCCUCAAACUGGUGAUGUUCCCUAAGCAUGGAGGCACUGAACCAGAAAGCUGAUUUUCCGACAAGUCUAAUGCACCAAGAUUCUUUAAAGUGCAAAUAACAUCUGGUAUGGUUCCUUCUAUCUUGUUUCUUUGUAGGUAAAGUUGUUGUAGAUUCAACAUGCGUUGGAUAGUUUUUGGAAUAUGUCCAGUCAACUCAUUGUUAAGCAUAUUUAUCCUUGUCACUCCAGUAAGAUUACCAAUUUCUUCAGGAAUAAUUCCCUUUAGUUUACAAGCAUAGCUUUCAAAAAUGUGCAGAGAGUCGGAGAAAUUUCCAACAAAUGUAGGAAAAAACCCAUGAAGGGGAUUCUCAGAUAAACCUAUUACUCUUAGUUUCCUACAGUUUGACAAUGAUGUCAAGAAGCUCAAUGUUGAAUCGCUGUAAAAAUUAUUAUACUGCAAGUUCAAAAACUCAAGAUGUUCUAAGUUACCAAGUGAUUUAAGAAUUGGACCUGUGAAACUGUUGGCACUGAGAUCAAGUUUUCUGAGUCUUGAAGAAUUUGAGAUAGAAGCAGGAAUAAAGCCACUCAGAUUAUUCGUCGCACAAUUGAAUUCUACAAGGCUGGGCAUUCUAUGGCCUAAAUCUGAAGGUAGAGUACCUAAAAGCCUGUUUCCAUCAAAUGAUAGGUACUGCAUUGCUGACAUGUUGAAAAUGCUUGUAGGGAUGGAACCAAUAAAUUCAUUCCCGAAUAAUCCCAGCAACUGUAGUUUCUUAAGAUUACCUAGCUCCACUGGUAUCUCUCCUAUCAAGUGAUCAAGGGAAAUAUAUGAGUACCAAUCUUAGCGGAAAUGAGAAUAUUAUAUUUGAGAUUUAUUAUAAGGAAAUAUCAUAUUACCUUCCAAAUGCAUAUCUCCAAGAUAUAAUUCUGUAAGAGCUGUUAAGUUGGCUAUCUCUUUUGGCACAGCUCCAAUGAAAUCAUUGCCAGACAAUGACAACAUUUGAAGCUUUCUGCAUUUUUCUAAGUUUGGUGGAAUAAUGCCAUCUAGAUAGUUGUAUGAGAUGCCAAACUUUUCCAAGUUUGGAAGGUGGUCACAUAUCGCUGUUGGAAGCUUACCAGUAAGAUUGUUGUAGGUGAGACCAAUCUUUUGCAUUGAUGUAAUGUUAUAGAUUGAUGGCGGUAUAGAGCCAGUGAGCCGGUUGAAUUGCAGGUUUAUGAAAGUCAUAUGACGAAGAUCACCGAGUACUCGAGGGAUCACUCCUUCGAGAAAGUUUUCCUUUAGCGUCAACACCUCCAGCUUUGUUACAUUGGAAAGGGAAGAUGGAAUUUUCCCUGAAAAUUGGUUGCUCGAAAGGUACAUGUAUCGGACGUUAGAUAACGAACUUAAAAAUGGUGGGAUGGCACCAGUGAAGUUAUUGAUUGUGACAUCAAUCAGUUUCAACCUCUGCAAAUGAGCCAAUUCUUCUGGCAACUCCCCAUGGGAAGUGUUGUUACUGAUGUCGAGAGAAACAAGAAAUGAGAGGUUUCCUAGAUGCGGAGGAAUGGUACCAUGAAGUUGCAUGCUAGAAAUGUCUAAAGCUGUGACUCGAUGGUGGCGAGAGGUGCAAGUGAUGCCAAUCCAGCUACAAACUGGGCUGGAAGAAGACCAGUUGCUUUGUAACAAGUUAUUAGGAUGAGAAGAAAUGUGAGAUUUCAGGGAAAGAAGAGCUGCUUCAUCAGUUUUAAUGUUGGGAACAGUAGCCAGUGAAGUAUGGUGAUGCAACAGAAUGAAAACUGCAAGAGCAAACAAGAGAUGGCAACUUCUGCCCAUAACUAUAGCAUGCAUUUUUAUGUUUUUCCUAAAACAACUAUGGAUAUGGCAAAGCAUUAAUCUUAGAUUGUCUAUUUAUGGAAGUGGUCCAGCCCUUCCCCGCGCAUAGCGAAAGCUUAGUGCACGGAAGCACAGAAAUGCCCUUUUUGUCUAUUUAUAGAAGUGGGCUACAGGCACAUUUCUCUUUUGCCUUAUUGAGAUGUGCCAAAAACGUCAACCCCGGAUGCCCUUUCUUUUUCUGUGGCACUAAAUUUAUAAGUUGACUAUUUAAUGAUUUCAAACUCAUGAUUAAGACUUAAAGAGUGUCAAUUUUAUGAGUAUUAUUGCAAGCUGUAUUAGUGAAAGUCGGUCAACUUGUACUGUGUGGGCUGCUGAUAGUUGAGGACUAGAAAACUGCAAUAUGGCAUUGAACGACCCUUAUCAUUUGUGCAACAACCCACUAGUCAUUACAACGUAUAGGGAAAAAUUUUAUUUUGUGCUUCACACAACUGACGCUAGUUAUAUGAGACCUCUUUUCUGUCUCACAACCUUGUGGUCCCAGAAUUUUGUGGACCCAAAUAUGUAAGAUAUGAGUUCACAAAUGUGUGUAAUAAAAAAAUGUUUCUAAUGUCAGUUGUGUGACACACAAUAAAAUCACUCACGUACAGCAAACUAAUACUUGUACAACUUAAUUGUGCAAAAGAAGAUAAAAGAUGAAACAGAUGGGAUGAUUUUGACAAAUAGCCACUUUUUAGGCUGCUAAUGUAGAAUUAUUUGUUUGGUUUACAUCAACCUUGCAAACCAUCUUUCCAAUUGUUGAAUAACUUGAUUAUUUACACAUUAGUCUUCAAAAUAUAUGAGCAUCUGAAACAAACUACACAUAGACAAUUCUCUUUCAUAGGUAUGACAAUGGGUCCUUGCAGAUGACCGGGCGAGGCGAGUUUAGACACAUGCAGGGCGGUGUUGGUUCACACAGCAUAUGAGACGAAAACGCUGUACUAGUCAGCUAGAUAAGUUCUUCAUGUACGAAUCUGGACACCAUCAUAGAGUUUACUUGUAUAAGUUUUGAAU